rnacentral:lncRNA from 1 species
CCUCACUUCGAAUAGUUUAAUGAGUUUCAUUUCAUCUCUCGUUUCAGGGGAUCGGCAAACGUGUAAGAGAGGUACACUCACCCCUGUGACUGGAACACCUCCCAGAGACUCACAGUGCAGCCCUGGGAGCACGGCCACGGGGUGGGCUGUUUUUCUCUGUACUGUGGUCAGCCCUGGAGUCUGUGCUGGAAUGAGUAACGUGCAGAGAUCUGAGGCUCGUGGCAAGCUCAGCCUGGAGAGGUUUCAGACACUGGGCAGGGAUUUGGUGGCAGUGCCAGGGGCUCAGGGCUGUGCUGUAGCCCUGUCACACGCCAGAAGAAUGGCUGGUGCCUUCCCUCCUGCUCACAGGACUCUCAUGGGUGAACUUUCUCCUGGAUGGAGCUGCCAGGAUCACCAGCCUGGGUCCAUUCUGCCACUGGCAGAUUGUUCAUUUCCAUGGCUAAGUCAGAGUUAAUGUUGUGUGGCAGUGAGUGCAGUUCAGUGCAGGGUCAGUGAGGAGCUGGUGGCCACUCUGGGGCUGCUGGCCCCGACCUUGGCACACACCAGGGCCAGGGCUGUGCCAAGGCACAGCUGCUCAUGUCUCCCUACUCUGCAGUAGGACCAAGAAAUAUAAAUAUAGAGGACUUGGGCAAAUCCAAAAACCCAGGAAUGUCUUUUGUUCGCUUUAACAGUCACAUCAAUGUUUCUUUCAUGUGAAAUGCCCACGGGCUUUGCUGCAGUGAGGUGCAUUCCAAGCAGUAACUGCAAUAAGCAGUAAAUAGUUACAAGGCACAGGGCAGAGCUGGGCUCUCCUGCAGCACAGGCUCUGCUGGCUGCACCCUGAGGCUGGCACGGGGCACAACCAGCACUCUCUCAAAUAGAUACAUCACUUAUGUUAAUUAAAAUUUCAGCUAUCCCUGCCUCUUCACGUGCCUCUGUGCACAAAUGCCCGUGGCCAGUGCCAGGGUUGGAGCUGGGUGGGGGCUGUUGUUGAGGCAGGAAUGCAGCCCAGGAGCAGAGCCCUGCACAGGCACACUUGGCAGGAGCUGGGCAGUGGCUGGAGCAGCAGAGAGGAAUGUGGGGCUGGAGCUGACCACGCUGCCACUGACUGCUCUGGCAUUCCCAGGAGCACAAAGCGGG